UUCGAACGUCUUUUUUGCCGCAAGGCGAAAAGGUAGUGGCGGACGGCUGAGUAACACGUAGGGAUUUACCUCUUUCUGAGGAAUAGCUCCGCGAAAGCGGGGAUAACACCUCAUGGUCCCCAACGCAAGUUGGGGUAAAGAAUGUAACUAUUCGGAGAGAGAUGAACCUGCGGCUUAUCAGAUAGUUGGUGGGGUAACGGCCUACCAAGUCUACGACGAGUAGCUGGCCUGAGAAGGUGGUCAGCCAGAGGGGGACUGAGACACGGCCCCCACUCCUACGGGAGGCAGCAAUCAGGAAUAGUCGGCAAUGGACGAAAGUCUGACCGCGCGACACCGCGUGUAGGAAUAAGCUCUAACGAGCGUAAACUACUGUGAUAGAGGAAGAAGAGCCCGCUCAGCGGGUUUUGACGGUACUCUAUAAGAAAGGGGCCGCUAACUGCGUGCCAGAAGCGUCGGUAAUACGUGGGCCCCAAACAUUAUCCGGUUUUACUGGGUGUAAAAAGUAGUGUAGGUGUUCCAUCAAGUUUUGUUUCAAAUACUACGGCUCAACCGUAGGAAGGGGCAAAAAACUGAUGGAAUAGAGUUUGCUUUAGAGAAACUGGAACUCAGGGAGGAGUAGUGAAAUGCGUUGAUACCCUGGGGAACACCAGUGGCGAAGGCGAGUUUCUGAAAGCAGACUGACACUGAGACACGAAAGCUAGGGGAGCGAAGCAGAUUAGAGACCUGCGUAGUCCUAGCCCUAACGCAUGCUUGCUAGCCGCAUCUUUGACGCAAGGUCGAGGGGGUAGCGAGGUANCCGUUAAC
rnacentral:rRNA from 1 species